AAAGCCUUUGUCGCGUCCUAGCAACGCGCGCCUCUCUCUGCUCUGCCGGGUCUUUUACUCUCCCUGGGGUCCCUCUCCUCCUCUGGGCUCCCGCCAAAACCUCUCACCCGCGUUUCUCACUGCUCGUGGGGAGGCUUGAUCUUCACACUCAGCCUGAACGCGGGCCGGCUCUCGGAUUUCUGUCGUGGGAGCCGCCGGAGAGACAGAACAAGGGGGACAAACAGCAAGAAAGAACACUUAAGUUUAUUUAAGAAAGAAAAAUAAUGUAAAGAAACUCAAGAUUUUGGUUAUUUUUAUUGUCAGGUCACAUCCAAAACCCUUAGAAGAAGGGGGUGGAGAGUGGCAAAAACCAUUUUUGUAUAAACUGCAUAUAAGAAAGGAAGAGACGAGACCUGUUGAGGAUCCAGCGCAGGGUCGACCCGGCACCAAAGAUGUUGGACACCAUCGUCCCUGCCCUGCAGGACCUGGGCAGGCAGGUGCUGCCCACGCUGCCGUCGCUGAGCCAGGAGGAAGUCUCUCUUAUUUGGGGCAAUGUUUCAGAAUUUGUGGAACGACAGUUAACCCUUCACAAGGGUGUUCAAAUUCCAGGAUUUGGAACAUUCACUUUCAUGAGACAAAAGCUUGAGAUUGGAAACAACAAGUUUAUUCUAAUCCAGAGGCCCAUAUUCAUCAUGGCAGAGAAGUUAGUCCAGACCCAUGGACUCAAACAAAACAAAAUAUAUACUCCUGGUGAUAUUCCAAUUGUUCCACUGAACUUUGUCAUGAUAUCCCUGGACGGCCCAUUUAACAGGGACACUGUGGAAGGAUGUGUGAAGGAGACGUUGCUUUACUUAUCGCGAUCCAUUUCCAUCAAACAGAAUGUGGAGUUUACAUUCAAAGGAAUUGGGGUUCUUGUGAUCAGAGACAGCAAAGUGAAGAUGAAAUUUUUUAAGGACUUCCUUUGUACCGUGGAUGGAAGUGGGACUCUGAUGAAAGUCUUAGCAAAUAGGCCAGGCACUAUGGACUCAGUGUUGUCCAGCAGAGAGGCUGUUGGGAAGCGGCCCAGCAGUGCACUUGCGUUUCCAAGGAUUGAGUUCAAGGAGACAGAGAAUAAACCACCUCUGGAGACGAUUGCAGAAGAAGGUGGAGAGAAUAGACAAAGGAAGUACAAGUUGAAAGACCAAUCAGACAAAGAAGGUGCCAGAGAGGCCUCUUUAUCCAAGAGACUUCGAGAUAGACAAGCUAUCCCCCCUGCCAAAGUGACAAAUGUCAGCUUGCUGGACAAGUCUGAGCCAAAUGGAGGUGGUGGGAAGAACAUAAAUCCUGAAAGUUUAUCUGCUCCAGAUUAUCUGAAAAAUGACACUGAAACAAAGCCCAGAAUAUCUCCAGCUCCUGAUUGCCAGGAUCAUAAUAAGGCAGGACAGGAAAUGUGCUAUGUGUGUUUGCAACGAGCACAGCAAAGUUCCCAGUUGUACCCCAGUGAGGAGAGGAAGAGGAGAGAGAUGCAAGAUGAGCAACUCAUACAGCAGUAUCAAAUGUUGAAAGAUCAGGAGGCUCUCUUCAAACACCAGAUGAAAAGUCUGGCCACUAGAGAACAGAAUCAGAAAAAUGCUGCCUAUAAUCUUGGAGUUGCUGAAGCUAUUAGAAGGCACAAGAAUGAGAAACCUGAAUUUUAUAAAUCCUUCCUAUUUGACAAACGACCACUCAGCCCCGAGCUUAAUGCUGUUAGGCAAGAGGAAUAUUCCCAGAGUCUCCUGAAACAAAUGGAUAACAGACGGGAAAAGGAAAUAAAGCAAAGACAAAACAGAGAGUUGAUGGACCGCCUAGAACAAGUGCAACUCACAGAGGAACUUGCUGCGCAAAGAGCCAAAUAUUUAAAAGAUAAGAUGGAGGAAACCCAGUGUUACAAGAGGGCUUUGGAUGCACAGAUAAAGAACAAGCCCAGCCAGCUGCCUGUGUUUGAACCAGACUCCUCUGAGCCCAUCUUUGGGCAGAACGAGCAUGAAUUGAUGGCAGAAAAGCGAAAGCGAGAACAGAAUUAUAUGAAACACCAGCUGGAGGCAGCUGCUAACAACAAGAGGAAAGCCAUCCUACACCAGCUGGUGGAUCAGAGGCGGGAUUUGCAGAUGCUUCAGAGGACACAGAGAGAGCAUUUGGCAGACAGAACUGCUGAGCUGGAGCAAGUGAGCAGAAUCAACCAAUGCUUGCAGGAGGACUGGGAACACAGUACCGAGAUGAAGAAGCAGCGGGACCUGGAGGAGAAGGCUUUCGAGCGUGGGGAAACUGGCAGGGAUAAGACGUGCAACACCUACAGAAGCCUCGCCCUAGAGUCUUCACGUCAAGCCUUCACCUGUCUGUCCUUGUCCUCGAGAAUGAACGUCAGCAGUGUCGCAGGCUCAGCCUCACAUUCCUGGCACAGCAUAGCAAGGUGUCCAGGAGCCCUCACGCCUGCGGCCCAGGGCCUUGUGCCAAGACCAAACCCAAGCCCGAAUCGGUCCUUGACUUGUUUCCGGGGUCCCAAGAGGUCCAAGGGCCCACUGCCAGCCAGGAUCUUCUGAACAGCCUUCAAACUGCCGGAAAUGGCCACGAGGACAGAAGCCACGCCCAUUGCCUGCGUCAUCGGUGUGUCCCUUCCGUCAGCGCAAGCCCCGCCCAGCGUCACCUCAGUAUUCUCACGCCUCAGGCGGUAGAGGCCACGUGUACCGACCGCUCCUCUUACACCCUUCGCCCCUGCGUUCACCCCACAGAAGGCAUCGGUGGCCUGGAGCCCUUGGAGGCCCAUUGCUGGAGACACCAACUCAACGGGGAAGCUGCUGCGUGUGAAGACCGCCACAGCAGGGCCCAGGAAAGGGAGGCGGUUUGGCAGGAUGGCGCUGAGUAACAGUGUUUCCAGAAAGCAGACCUAUGUCCCAGCCUCAGAACUGAUGCUCAAUGGGAGGAAGACGUGGGAGCAGUGCGCAGCAGCUUCCUGGGAGGAACGAGGUAACUUGGCAUUGCAGAAAGCAAUCUGGAUUUGGAGUUAGCAGACCAGGGUUCAACUCACAGUCUUGCCAGCUGAAGAUGGUUUCAAAGCCUGACCUCAAAGCCAAGACUGCAUGAAUUACUUACUCCCUGAGCAUCUCAUGCAUACAUGGGUAUACACAUUCUUCAGAUUUCUGUUUGUUUCUCACUUUUCAGUCUGUCUUUUGUUAUAAUAGUCCAUCCCCAAGAACUAGAACUUGAACUAAGAACUAGGAGGGGUCGAGAGAGAAUUUUUUUUCCU